UACGUAGGGUCCGAGCGUUGUCCGGAAUUAUUGGGCGAAAGAGCUCGUAGGCGGUCUGUCGCGUCGGCUGUGAAAACACGGGGCUCAACUCCGUGCCUGCAGUCGAUACGGGCAGACUAGAGUUCGGUAGGGGAGACUGGAAUUCUGGUGUAGCGGUGAAAUGCGCAGAUAUCAGGAGGAACACCGGUGGCGAAGGCGGGUCUCUGGGCCGAAACUGACGCUGAGACGCGAAAGCGUGGGGAGCGAACAGG
rnacentral:rRNA from 1 species